UCCAUUUUGUUCAGCCCGGUCUACUAUC
rnacentral:sRNA from 1 species